GAGUUUGAUCCUGGCUCAGGACGAACGCUGGCGGCGCGCCUAACACGUGCAAGUCGAACGGAGCUUAGAGAGCUUGCUUUUUAAGCUUAGUGGCGAACGGGUGAGUAACGCGUGAGUAACCUGCCCUAGAGUGGGGGACAACAGUUGGAAACGACUGCUAAUACCGCAUAAGCCCACGGUACCGCAUGGCACUGAGGGAAAAGGAUUUAUUCGCUUUAGGAUGGACUCGCGUCCAAUUAGCUAGUUGGUGAGGUAACGGCCCACCAAGGCGACGAUUGGUAGCCGGACUGAGAGGUUGAACGGCCACAUUGGGACUGAGACACGGCCCAGACUCCUACGGGAGGCAGCAGUGGGGAAUCUUGCGCAAUGGGGGGAACCCUGACGCAGCGACGCCGCGUGCGGGACGGAGGCCUUCGGGUCGUAAACCGCUUUCAGCAGGGAAGAGUCAAGACUGUACCUGCAGAAGAAGCCCCGGCUAACUACGUGCCAGCAGCCGCGGUAAUAC
rnacentral:rRNA from 1 species